AGUAUCGAUAUUAUAUUUUCAUUUCAAGAGGCUGUUGCGUUGAGUGUCUGAGUCGCGCGGCGGAACUGUUGAGUAGAUGGGCGCGCUGCGUCGGACAUUUUAUAGCGAUGCACGCGCUCAUUCGGUAGUUUUUUUUUUAAUUGAACAACUGAACAUGACAGAACAUAGCUUAAGCGGUCAACUAACAAAAUUACAAAAUUAGAUGGUGUUUACAGCCAGCAAACCAAAACAAAUAGAAGAAAAACAACAAAUUAAAAAGAAAAUAAUCAAUCAGCAAGGUAGUGCAUGUGUUAACUGAAAUAAACAUGUUCUUAUAUUUCUAAAAAAUAUAUAAUUAAGUUUUAAGUUACAUCAAUUCACAUGAGGUAAUCUUAUUAGUGCAUCAUAUAAAUUCUUGUAACCCAGCUGAAAUUCUGCGCUGUCUCUUUAAAUCUUCCGGUUCCCCUUGCACUGCGUAACUGCAGUGACGUGUCACUUUCACUUUGAAAGGUGUGUCAAAACGCCAAUGAGAGAUGCAUUCAUGGCGAAGCUCGGCUGUGUACCGCUGCAGCAGAUUGGCGUUCAUCACCGGAAGCCGGGAAAAUUAAAUCAGCGCGAUUAGUGAAGCGUGAAGUGGCCAGGUCGCUUGACUGGUUGUGUCUGAAGAUUUUGGAGUGCUCAACCAGAGCAUUGGAUGCAGUAUCGACUGGGGAGUCUACCACUCCCAGAAAACAGUGAGGAUAAAACCUCUGUGGAUGGCGAGCUAAAAGGAGCCCGAUAUUAGACUGGAAUCUACCAUCCUACCACCAGUGCGGUAGGACUAACCCCCCACACUCUACAACAACUCAUCCGGAGUGCAUUUUUCUUUCUUUUUUUAUCCCCGCCAACUGGAGUACCCAGACUCUUUCUCAUCACAACUCUCUCUACGAACUAAUAGAAAAAAAAAACAUCAUCAGGACUGAAGUGUUUUGUUCAUAUGUGUUGUAAAUUUUGAAUUCACUGUAUAUUGUAAAUACAUUUGCAUCAGCAACUCA